rnacentral:rRNA from 1 species
AAUGGGCGCAAGCCUGACGGAGCAAUACCGCGUGCGGGAGGAAGGCUUUUGGGUCGUAAACCUCUUUUGUUAGGGAAGAACACAAUGACGGUACCUAACGAAUCAGCAUCGGCUAACUCCGUGCCAGCAGCCGCGGUAAUACGGGGGAUGCAAGCGUUAUCCGGAAUUAUUGGGCGUAAAGCGUCCGCAGGUGGUUUGUCAAGUCUGCUGUCAAAGCGUGGGGCUUAACCCCAUAAAGGCAGUGGAAACUGACAGACUAGAGUACGGUAGGGGUAGCGGGAAUUCCCAGUGUAGCGGUGAAAUGCGUAGAUAUUGGGAAGAACACCAGCGGCGAAGGCGCGCUACUGGGCCGAAACUGACACUCAUGGACGAAAGCUAGGGGAGCGAAAGGGAUUAGAUACCCC